UAGCCGACCUGAGAGGGUGAUCGGCCACAUUGGAACUGAGACACGGUCCAAACUCCUACGGGAGGCAGCAGUGGGGAAUAUUGCACAAUGGGCGAAAGCCUGAUGCAGCAACGCCGCGUGAGUGAUGAAGGCCUUCGGGUCGUAAAACUCUGUCCUCAAGGAAGAUAAUGACGGUACUUGAGGAGGAAGCCCCGGCUAACUACGUGCCAGCAGCCGCGGUAAUACGUAGGGGGCUAGCGUUAUCCGGAUUUACUGGGCGUAAAGGGUGCGUAGGCGGUCUUUCAAGUCAGGAGUGAAAGGCUACGGCUCAACCGUAGUAAGCUCUUGAAACUGGGAGACUUGAGUGCAGGAGAGGAGAGUGGAAUUCCUAGUGUAGCGGUGAAAUGCGUAGAUAUUAGGAGGAACACCAGUUGCGAAGGCGGCUCUCUGGACUGUAACUGACGCUGAGGCACGAAAGCGUGGGGAGCAAACAGGAUUAGAUACCCUGGUAGUCCACGCUGUAAACGAUGAGUAC
rnacentral:rRNA from 1 species